CCUUCGCCUCGUCGUCUUUUUAGAUCAAAACUCGCCUCGUCGUCUUCACCGGCGCCGAGCCCUCCUCCGCGAUGAACUCGUUAGGGGAAGGGGAUCAACGUCCAGUCGUUGUGCUCCGAAAAAAUAUCCUUCGGGCCUCAAGCUACGAAUACCUCCCCUCCAAAAAAAUUCAAGUUGGUCGGACACUUCCAACAUAGGCGCGUCUUGGAACCCAGUCUUCCCCUUCUCCAAAUCAGGUGGUGGCUGACUGGUGAUCCAUUUCCUUCAGAGUGCUUCUCUGUCGCCAUGGUGCAGCCUACCACUGGGGAAUGAAACAGGAAGUUCAGUAUCAAGAUUAAUGCUUCUGCAGGAAUUUGAAGUGUUUAGAUGAUAUCAUUGAUGCAGUGGCUUCAAAGACAAAAAUGUUUCAAUGCCCUCUUACUAUCUGGCCCGCCAAGUUGAUUUACGGCCUCCACGAAGCGAUCAUGCAGCUCAGGGGUCCAUUUUAACCUGGGCUUAGCAUCAGUUGAGAGUACAAGUCCUGACUCUCCUGGAACGAUUCCUCCUUGUAAAAGUAGGUGCCUCUCUGAAGGGAAAGUCUGCCUAGAAGACAAGAGUUGGCUGUGUCUCUGGAGCUGUUGUUGAUGAUGAUACAUCUGACAUGAAUAUAUCUCAGUAUGCUUGUAGGUUGCACAAUCCUUCCAGGAACUUCCUGUUGCAGCUUUAUGAAUCCUCUAUUUAUGGUAAUCAAGAGACUGCUCUUAUAAGGAAGGCAAGUGAGGAGAGAAUCUCGAAUCGUUGGAAGAAACACUCGGGCCUGACCCAAUCUUCGCAGCAACUGAAAAGAGAUAUUAUCCUUAUUCCUUUUGAAGAAGAAUUGGAUGAAGUUUUCCCUGCAAAUAAAGCGAAGAAGGAACUCAUUCUAUUACGGAUGCCUUUCUUGGGACUGCACAAAAGCAAAGUAUGGAAUAAGCAUAUGGUUCCCUUUUGUCUCCUCUGUCUUCUGAGUUUGGUUGCUAUCGUCUAUCUGUUCUACACAAGGCGCAUAAAGUAGGAGCUUAAAAUUGACGGUUUAGUUUCUUGAUUUCAGUUGUUUUUCCUUUACAUGUGUGUUGUACAGCUGACUGUUUCUCUUACAUUUACGCAUCCAUGAUCCAUCAGUUGUCUUCUCCAUGCUUUGAUAAGAGAAAUGCAUCAAGUUCAACUGGCAUAAAAGUAAGCUAUACGCCUAUACCGAACACUCGAACAGUCGUAGCAUUCAUUAAUUUAUGUUCACCCCUCUAUAAUUGUGAGAUUCUGUAAUAAUAAACAUCCGGUCAUCUUGCUCUUUCAUCUUUGCCAUCCAGUUGAUGUCCAGGAUAUGUUUCAAGUCACGAGUGCAUGAUGAAUAAGUUUUUUUUUGUUGUUAUUGGUGGGAGGGGGUGGAAAUGAAGUUUGCAAAAUUGUCGUACUGUAAAUCAAAUAAAGCCAAUAGUAAUUUGAUGCUGAAGGACCUUGAAAGCAAAAGUUUGACAAGCUUGUUCUUUCAAAAGUAACUAAUAGGAAUGGUCCAUGAUAGUACGCCUCGUUCUUUAUAGCUUACUAUUCUGUAUUUUGCUUGCUGCAAUUAUCUGGAUACCAGUCUUCUACUCUUCUCCAAACCCUUUCAGGGAAUCCCUGUGCUUAACUAUUAGUUUGUUCACAUAUAUAUAUUAAGACAAGCAAAUGGUACCCAGGACAUGAGAUCUGUACCUUGGCUCUGGUUCAGUUGCAGCAUGCUGGUGCAUAUCUGUUCUGUUCCUCCAAAUUGCUGCUUGAUUCGCGGAGCAUCGACUGGGAGCUAUGAGCAAUGAUGGCCGGUCAUGAGGAGCACAAACUAAAACUACUGUGCAUUGAGAACAUGGAAUGAACUCUUUAUGGCCAUAGCUUUAUCUUUUGUGCUGAAUCCAAAGAGAGGAGGAGAACUUUAUCUUUGCGCAGAUUACAUUCAGCUGUUGCUUGCUAAGUUCUUGGAAUCAUAUGCUUUGUCUUUCUCCCUCUCUGAGCUCUUGACACUAUCGUUUGCGCAGGGAGGCACGCGAUCCCGAAAGAAGGAAUAAGGGAAAGAGUGAUGCUGACAAAGUUAGGGGAAUCAGGCCUGGUUGCGAGACGAAGUGACAAGCACCAACACGUGUGGACUGUUGUUGCAUAGCAUCUAUGGAGCUCGGUGCUUAUAUUUAACACAUUUAACUCCCAUAUUAGUUGCUCAUCUGUAGAGCUCGCUGAAAGAAACACGAGCAGCGUGGAUGGAGAUGGAUAAAUAUAGGCCAGGUGUUUAAUUCUCUUUGGAUAUCAUCCCUCAACCCUGUGAAGAUGCUUCGGUUUUGUGAAGUUUUUCUUUUGUGCAUUCCCUAAAAAAAGGCGAAGAUGAGAAACGUAAUUUUGAUCAGGUAGGUCUCAGCAAGGUGCUUAUUUUUGUUUCUCAUAUGAGGAGAAAGCGGGCAUUUUAUGCACACACUUCAGUGGGUCGUGUGAUAACUAGAUUUUUUAUUUUUGUUGAAGUGUGAUAAAUUUUUUGUUUAAAACUCUGAAGUGUGUUAAGUAGGGUUAAGGUCGUGGAGUAGAAUGUAAUGGAAUAAUUCAAAAAACUGAGAUGAUUAAUAUGUGAUUCCUAAAAUAUA